rnacentral:sRNA from 1 species
UUUUUCUAUUUUCGUUAUGUUAACUUGAUGUGGGAAUCGGAAACAUAUUAAUAGAAAAAAAA